AGUCCUCCAUUGCAUCCGUCAAAGCUACUGGGUUAACUGCAUCUUUGACUCCUUCCAGUCUCCUCAAGUGCACACGCUCUCCAGUCUCAGGCCUAGAGCCAUCACCUUUGUCAGGAUCGAAUCAUGCAUCCUGGUAGGUCAGCUAUGAUUACCUCAACAAGUCUGCUUUUUGUCCAGACCCUGCAAUUCUGUUCCCCCCAGGAGCAAUGAUAGUGGUAACCAGUGACCAGAUAACUUUCUUAAAGCAAAGUAUUAUUUAUCUGAGACAGAAACUUUCAGAGAAAUCAGAUUUUAAAACAAUAAAAUAGGCUAUAUGCAUGUUUAGUUUACCAAAGGCCCACAUGGGAAUCUUGGUAGUUUAAGCUUCCUAUAGACCCUCUGCCCCCCCAAAGAUAGCUGGGGUCUAGGUCACACUCUCUUUCCUUAACUCACAAAUCAGUUCACUCUCCUUGCUUCAGGGAGAGUCUUCUUUAAAAGGUGCUUAGUCCUUUUGAUCACCCUCCUUUCCAGAGAACAAGUCACUUUUUAACACUUUAUAGCCCUUUGAUCUGUUGGGUCCCAGCACUGCCAAAACAGGGCUUGUCACUCAGUUAGGGACAGGAUAUAAGGUCUUCAGAGGUAAUAUUUUCCCCAUUGUCUUUCAUAUGUGUGCCUGGGACUACUGUGUUGCUUUCUUGAUUGCUUUUCCAACAGCCCUGUCAAGAUCGAUCAAUACAUGCAUACAGGAAAGAUUUUUAACCCAGUAUGCUAUAACUUCACCUUACUGACCAGGUCACAGAGUGUUCAUAAAACGAUUACAUAUCAUUAUUCUUAGAUUGCUACAAGCAGCUCCUCAUUCAUUACAGCAGGUAUGUUUGCUAUUUAUUACUGUUUCUCUGGUAUCCAAGGUACUGGCAUGUUAGCACAUCUCUCUUUUUUUCUGCAACACAGCAAGUGGGUUUUACUUGGCCAUACCUGGCAUGGUCAGCAGCAGUUCAAUAGCUCUACAAACUUGCCUCCUCUUAGGUUUAGUGAUAGCUAUUCCCAUCCGAUUGCGAGAUCCAGCUCUCUAUUAUGCUUCAAUAUGGACUUUGCGGUUGAUAUUUCACUACUGAUUGAUCAUCAGUAGCAAAUGAGCUCUGCUCACACAGGUGCAUCCCAGUUUUUACAUUACUGAAUGAUUUUAUAACUUUUCAGAAUACCCUGAAGUUGUAAAAAUGCAAUUAUAAAACAAAUACAUCUAAUUCAAAAUAAAAACAUUAACAACAUUAUGGAACUGUGCA
rnacentral:lncRNA from 1 species